rnacentral:rRNA from 1 species
UACGGGGGGGGCAAGCGUUGUUCGGAAUUACUGGGCGGAAAGGGCUCGUAGGCGGCCAACUAAGUCGGAUGUGAAAUCCCCAGGCUCAACCUGGGAACUGCAUCCGAUACUGGAUGGCUUGAAUCCGGGAGAGGGAUGCAGAAUUCCAGGUGUAGCGGUGAAAUGCGUAGAUAUCUGGAGGAAUACCGGUGGCGAAGGCGGCAUCCUGGACCGGCAUUGACGCUGAGGAGCGAAAGCUAGGGGAGCAAACGGG